UAGGGAAUCUUCGGCAAUGGACGAAAGUCUGACCGAGCAACGCCGCGUGAGUGAAGAAGGUUUUCGGAUCGUAACUCUGUUGUUAGAGAAGAACAAGGACGUUAGUAACUGAACGUCCCCUGACGGUAUCUAACCAGAAAGCCACGGCUAACUACGUGCCAGCAGCCGCGGUAAUACGUAGGUGGCAAGCGUUGUCCGGAUUUAUUGGGCGUAAAGCGAGCGCAGGCGGUUUCUUAAGUCUGAUGUGAAAGCCCCCGGCUCAACCGGGGAGGGUCAUUGGAAACUGGGAGACUUGAGUGCAGAAGAGGAGAGUGGAAUUCCAUGUGUAGCGGUGAAAUGCGUAGAUAUAUGGAGGAACACCAGUGGCGAAGGCGGCUCUCUGGUCUGUAACUGACGCUGAGGCUCGAAAGCGUGGGGAGCAAACAGG
rnacentral:rRNA from 1 species